CUCAAUAUUCAACCUCAAGUACACCAAGGAAAACUUGGAGGCUAAGUCUUGGUCUAGGAAGUAUUUUCCCUAAGUUGGUUAGGGAUUUUGAAAGGUUUUGAAGGAGUCAAAGCUUAUAGGAAGGUCCAAACCUUAAGCAAGAACACCAAAGAGUAUUGGCUAAGCGUAACUGGACUGAACGUUGGAGGGUGAAAACUUGCUGAGC